GCUGGGAUAGUUCAGUCGGUAGAGCACGAAACUCUUAAUCUCAGGGUUGUGGGUUUGAGCCCCGUGUUGGGCA